rnacentral:rRNA from 1 species
UGGGGAAUAUUGGACAAUGGGCGAAAGCCUGAUCCAGCCAUGCCGCGUGUGUGAAGAAGGUCUUCGGAUUGUAAAGCACUUUAAGUUGGGAGGAAGGGCAGUAAGCGAAUACCUUGCUGUUUUGACGUUACCGACAGAAUAAGCACCGGCUAACUCUGUGCCAGCAGCCGCGGUAAUACAGAGGGUGCAAGCGUUAAUCGGAAUUACUGGGCGUAAAGCGCGCGUAGGUGGUUCGUUAAGUUGAAUGUGAAAGCCCCGGGCUCAACCUGGGAACUGCAUCCAAAACUGGCGGGCUAGAGUAGGGCAGAGGGUGGUGGAAUUACCUGUGUAGCGGUGAAAUGCGUAGAUAUAGGAAGGAACACCAGUGGCGAAGGCGACCACCUGGGCUCAUACUGACACUGAGGUGCGAAAGCGUGGGGAGCAAACAGG